rnacentral:misc_RNA from 1 species
GAAAUGCGAUAAGUAAUGUGAAUUGCAGAAUUCAGUGAAUCAUCGAAUCUUUGAACGCACAUUGCGCCCCUUGGUAUUCCGAGGGGCAUGCCUGUUCGAGCGUCAUUACAACCCAUCAAGCUCUGCUUGGCCUUGGACGCCGCCCCCGCGAGGGGGCGCGCCCCAAAGAACUCAGCGGUGCCGUCAGGCCCCGAGGCGUAGUUAAAUCUCCCGCUUCGUGGGGCCUUUCCGGUCUGCCCGCUUCCAACGACCCGCAAACUUCCAGGUUGACCUCGGAUCAGGUAGGGAUACCCGCUGAACUUAA